CAGUAGCCGCGGGAAUACGUAGGGUGCAAGCGUUAAUCGGAAUUACUGGGCGUAAAGCGUGCGCAGGCGGUUAUAUAAGACAGAUGUGAAAUCCCCGGGCUCAACCUGGGAACUGCAUUUGUGACUGUAUAGCUAGAGUACGGAAGAGGGGGAUGGAAUUCCGCGUGUAGCAGUGAAAUGCGUAGAUAUGCGGAGGAACACCGAUGGCGAAGGCAAUCCCCUGGGCCUGUACUGACGCUCAUGCACGAAAGCGUGGGGAGCAAACAGGAUUAGAUACCCCUGUAGUCCCUGUCUCUUAUAC
rnacentral:rRNA from 1 species